GAACGCUGGCGGCAUGCCUUACACAUGCAAGUCGAACGGUAACAGGCCGCAAGGUGCUGACGAGUGGCGAACGGGUGAGUAAUGUAUCGGAACGUGCCCAGUCGUGGGGGAUAACGUAGUGAAAAUUACGCUAAUACCGCAUACGAUCUAUGGAUGAAAGCGGGGGAUCGCAAGAGCCUCGCGCGAUUGGAGCGGCCGAUAUCAGAUUAGGUAGUUGGUGGGGUAAAGGCUCACCAAGCCAACGAUCUGUAGCUGGUCUGAGAGGACGACCAGCCACACUGGAACUGAGACACGGUCCAGACUCCUACGGGAGGCAGCAGUGGGGAAUUUUGGACAAUGGACGCAAGUCUGAUCCAGCCAUUCCGCGUGCAGGACGAAGGCCUUCGGGUUGUAAACUGCUUUUGUACAGAACGAAAAGGUCUCUAUUAAUACUAGGGGGCUCAUGACGGUACUGUAAGAAUAAGCACCGGCUAACUACGUG
rnacentral:rRNA from 1 species